UCUCCAAUAGCUCAGUGGUUUAGAGCAUCAGUUUAGACCAUGGAUGGUAGUACGUUCGAAUUCCAUUUGGAGCU